rnacentral:rRNA from 1 species
UACGUAGGGGGCUAGCGUUGUCCGGAUUUAUUGGGCGUAAAGAGCGUGUAGGCGGCCAGAUAAGUCUGCUGUGAAAACUCGAGGCUCAACCUCGAGCUGUCGGCGGAAACUAUUUGGCUAGAGUCCGGAAGAGGAAAGCGGAAUUCCUGGUGUAGCGGUGAAAUGCGCAGAUAUCAGGAAGAACACCCGUGGCGAAGGCGGCUUUCUGGGACGGUACUGACGCUGAGACGCGAAAGCGUGGGGAGCGAACAGG